rnacentral:rRNA from 1 species
CGGGUGCACUGAUCCGGCCGGGCCUUUCCCUCUGUGGAACCCCAUGGCCUUCACUGGCUGUGCGGGGGAAACAGGACUUUUACUGUGAAAAAAUUAGAGUGCUCCAGGCAGGCCUAUGCUCGAAUACAUUAGCAUGGAAUAAUAGAAUAGGACGCGUGGUUCUAUUUUGUUGGUUUCUAGGACCGCCGUAAUGAUUAAUAGGGACAGUCGGGGGCAUCAGUAUUCAAUUGUCAGAGGUGAAAUUCUUGGAUCUAUUGAAGACUAACUACUGCGAAAGCAUUUGCCAAGGAUGUUUUCAUUGAUAAGGAACGAAAGUUAGGGGAUCGAAGACGAUCAGAUACCGUCGUAGUCUUAACUAUAAACUAUGCCGACUAGGGAUCGGACGAUGUUAUUUCUUGACGCGUUCGGCACCUUUCGAGAAAUCAAAGUGCUUGGGCUCCAGGGGGAGUGUGGUCGCAAGGCUGAAACUUAAAGAAAUUGACGGAAGGGCACCACCAGGGGUGGAACCUGCGGCUUAAUUUGACUCAACACGGGGAAACUCACCAGGUCCAGACACAGUGAGGAUUGACAGAUUGAGAGCUCUUUCUUGAUUCUGUGGGUGGCGGUGCAUGGCCGUUCUUAGUUGGUGGAGUGAUUUGUCUGCUUAAUUGCGAUAACGAACGAGACCUUAACCUGCUAAAUAGCCCGUACUGCUCUGGCAGUUCGCCGGCUUCUUAGAGGGACUAUCGG